rnacentral:lncRNA from 1 species
AUUUGAUCCACUAAUGUAGUGAUCAUGGCCAAUAGCAUAAUCAUGCUUCACAUGUAGUUGGUUUAUAUGUUCCUGCAACUAUUGGAUCUUCAUAUAUCUUGGAUCGAUCUCUAAUAAUGGGGCAUUGCCGGUGCUUCAUCAAACCAUGGCUUCAAUAUUGAUGUAUAACACCACAAGCAAACCAAACUCGCUUGGGUACCAAAAAUAGUGCACAUGAUGAUCCUUCUUCUUGAGGAAGAAUAUCCUUCCAAUAAUGGAGUAGCA